CAAGAGAGCACCUCCCUGGUCAAUAUUGGACAGUUGUCUUCAUCAGCACAUGAGGAGAGACACCAGAGUGAAGCUGCUGCGAGGACUCAGAAGAUAGCAAAGAUGCAGUGGAGUCUGUUUCUGCUCAUUCUGAUGGGUCAGUGGUCCUUCUUCGCAUGUCAUCUCUAUGAGUAUCACUUUGUUGGAGAGAAGAAGACCUGGA